AACGAACGCUGGCGGUAGGCUUAACACAUGCAAGUCGAGCGCAUCCUUCGGGGUGAGCGGCAGACGGGUGAGUAACGCGUGGGAACAUGCCCAAAGGUACGGAACAACUCCGGGAAACUGGAGCUAAUACCGUAUGUGACCGAGAGGUGAAGGAUUUAUCGCCUUUGGAUUGGCCCGCGUUGGAUUAGCUAGUUGGUGGGGUAAAGGCCUACCAAGGCGACGAUCCAUAGCUGGUCUGAGAGGAUGAUCAGCCACACUGGGACUGAGACACGGCCCAGACUCCUACGGGAGGCAGCAGUGGGGAAUAUUGGACAAUGGGCGCAAGCCUGAUCCAGCCAUGCCGCGUGAGUGAUGAAGGCCUUAGGGUUGUAAAGCUCUUUCGCCAGGGACGAUAAUGACGGUACCUGGAUAAGAAGCCCCGGCUAACUUCGUGCCAGCAGCCGCGGUAAAAC
rnacentral:rRNA from 1 species